rnacentral:lncRNA from 1 species
UGCGCACCGGUCCAGCGGCCUGUGGGAAAAGAAACAGGUGGCUCCCUGGCGACAUCUCGCUGAUGUAGCGCGCCGCAUCAGGGAAAGCAGCAAACAGGUCCAGAUCGGCGCACCCCGCGUCCACAAGAGAUGACUGUUCGUCCUCAUCGUCAUCGUCGCUAUCGCCAGUGUCCAGCGUAGACACAAUGUAUGCGAGGGCGUCAUUGACAGCGGACCUCGUGGCCACGUCGUCGAUGAUGGGUUGAGUGGCGGGAGCGUCACGCGGGUCCAUGGCCGCCACGUAAUAGCGAAUGUCCUGUGGCAAGGGUGACGUCUGGAGGUAGAGCCGUGGCCGAUAGUCAUCGUCUCUCGCCUGCACGAAAUAGGCGGUGACGUCGCCGAGCAUGUCACUGUUUUGAUCGCCGUCAAUAAAACUGGCGUAGGACACGGG